rnacentral:tRNA from 4 species
GGGGAUAUGGCAGAGUGGACAAAUGCAUCAGACUGUAAAUCUGACCGCGCAAGCGUACGGUGGUUCGAAUCCAUCUAUCCCCA